rnacentral:misc_RNA from 1 species
UGCUAAGCCUUUUGAUGAGAUUGAGUUUGAGAAGGUACUUCGCAAGAAGUUUGCUCGUCGUGAUGAAGAGUAUGACUCAAUGCUUGGUGUUGUUCGGGAAACUCCUCCUGAACUUAUACUUCCAGAUAAUGUCCUACCAGAUAAAGCACCCAAGGCAAAAUGAGGUAUUGUUUCUUAAAAUUCAAAUCUUCAUAUUUGACUUCAGAGGAAUAUUUGUUGUCUUGUGCAAAUACAUUAAGAAGGGAUCACUCUCUUUUCCAAUAAUACCAGACCUGUUUAGGGUAGAAUUAUGGCUGCUUAUAAGUUUUUUGCUCUGCUCUAUUUUUGGUUGUUUAGAUGUUCUAUUUUCUUCCAUGGGAGAACUAAUGCUAUAAAGCUGAAUUUAUUUUGAUGUUUUUCUCUUCCUUUACCUAACAAAUUCACUUUCAAUAUGAUCUUGCUGAUCCAUGCUUCUUAUAUCGAGUUAUAUGAGCCUUGAGGGAUGGUGUAACUAAGGGUAAAUUUCACAUGUUGUCCCUAAACUUUGGAAUCCCCUCUUCCAACCCUAUCUCUCUCUCAAACUCAUUUUCUCUCUGUACCAAAAAUUGUUCUCCAUGACCUGCCUUUUUGGUCUCUGUCUUCUCAUAUUUCUAUCUCCUUUUCACUUCCCAUCACCAUCUCUAUGUACUUCAAUCUAAAAAUAAUGUUAUUAUGCAUGGAGAUACUAAUACUCUGCACAAAAAUACUGAAAAUACCCAAUUUCAACAAUGUAAUAGAUUCAAAAAAUAACAAAAUUGCAUCCAAAAAAGAUACAUAGCAAAUGAAACAAAAGAUGUGAAAUUCUGAGUAGAAAGUUAAAGAAAAACAAAAUAGAAUUUGGGGAAAUAAAACAAUAUCCAAACAAAUUUGAAAAAGAAAAUCUAAAAAAGGGAAUGGCACAACAUGGAGAUGGUAGAAACAAUCACAGCCAUAUAAGAGAUAAUAAAUAUGAACCAAAUAAAGAACGUCUUAAAUCCACACUAACAAUUUUAUUCAUAUAGUUUCCUUUAUUGUUGAUCUUGUUGCUGACUUCUUAUCAUUCUAAUUUCCUUUUGCGUGCCUACUAUUGGGGUGUUAAUGGGUGGGAUAUAUCGCUUGGAGGGAUGGGCGAUACAAGAGGUAGGGGUAAAGGUGGGUUGGAUAUGGAAAAGAAAAGAAAGGCUAUAGGUAAAAUUUGAUCCAUUUGUGCAAAGAGAACAACCAGAAUCUGGAAGAAGGCUGCCUUGGGUCUGUGACAUUCUCCCUCUCUACCAAUUGGUAGAGCAGAUCUUGAUGAUUGUGGAGAACGAGUUUGGUAGAGAGAGAUUGAAUUUAAGAGAGAGGACAGGGAGAGAAUGGGGAAGGGAGAUUUUUUUUUUUUUUUUAACCCUUGCCACAUCAGCUCAUUACUUAUCAGUUGGCAAUGAAGAGUCAAAAGGAAUUUAUUGUUCAUUAAAUUAAAGUUCAAAGAGUUUUAUGUUACAAAUUAAAGAUUAUGAAUUGUAAUGUUACAACACCCUAAAUUCAAGGACAAUGUGUGAAAUUUACCUGUGCAACUAAUUAGCUCAUUUUAUGAUUGGUACGUGAAUAUAUAUGAAGGGAAUAGCAUUGCUGCAGAUUUUCGGUUGUUUCUGUUACUGUAGGAACUUGUUCUACAUCACCUGAUCAACUAUCGAAACU